UAGAGAGAGACAUGCGCGCAUAUCAAUAAGCGGAGGAAAAGAAACUAACAAGGAUUCCCCUAGUAACGGCGAGUGAAGCGGGAAGAGCUCAAAUUUGAAAUCUUAAAGGGUUUCCCUUUACGAAUUGUAGUUUAAAGAAGUGUUUUCUGUUGAGGUUUUGGUAAAAGUUCUUUGGAAUAGGACAUCAUAGAGGGUGAGAAUCCCGUAUUUGACCUUUACUUUCAACUUUGUGAUACACUUUCAAAGAGUCGGAUUGUUUGGGAAUGCAGUCCAAAAUGGGUGGUAAAUUUCAUCUAAAGCUAAAUAUUGGCGAGAGACCGAUAGCGAACAAGUACCGUGAGGGAAAGAUGAAAAGAACUUUGAAAAGAGAGUUAAACAGUACGUGAAAUUGUCAAAAGGGAAGCGUUUGACACCAGUGUUGUUUUUCUGAAAAUCAAUUAAAGAACUGUUUAUGCUAAGUUGUUUAGACUUUAUCAGCUAACUGUUUAGUUUUGAGCUUUUCUUUAAUGCACUUUUCAGUUAACAAGUCAACAUCAAUUUCUUUUGCUGUAAAAAAGCUUGAGGAAGGUGGCUUGAGAUUCGUCUUAAGUGUUUAUAGCCUCUUGCCUAUGCAGUCGGAGAGAUUGAGGUCUGCAGCGUAGAUCCUUCGGGGCUAAAUGCAUUUGUGCUAAGUUAUAGCAUUUUAUAGACAACUUGUUGACUAUGAUUUGUCUUGUAGCUUACUCGCUUAUGUUAUUUUACCUACGCUUAGGAUGUUGAGCGCAUGUCUCUCUCU
rnacentral:rRNA from 1 species